rnacentral:lncRNA from 1 species
CUGAUUUUAUACAUUUUUAUAAAAUUUGUCUUACUGCAUUUCAACGUAUGUGAAACUUUAUUAUAUGGAUUCAGUUUCGUGUUCAUUGUUUAAGGAGAUGUAUUUGAAUUUAAGGAGCUUCCAUUUGAUUGUUAUGGGUUGAAAGAGGGUUGAGGGGGAGGGUGUGGUGGGGCUAAGAAGAAAUAGAAAAGAGGGCAGGACAGGAGUUUUGAGUAGAAAAAAAGGCAGAAUUAGCAACUUUGCCAAAAGAUGAUAAUUUAUGUAAACAAAUGUUAGGAUAAACUAAUAAACAAAGGCUGGAACGAAUAGAGUGAAAAAUAAAAAGGCAGAACGAACAGAGCUUACAACUAAACAAAAAUGCAGGACACAAUUAUCCAUCCUAGACCCCCUCAAAAUCAAAUGGUAGCUCCCUUAAGAUGAUCACAAUUUCCAUAAACAUACAUGUAUUCAGGCGACAAAUGGUGAAUGAGCAUACUGCAGGAAAUUAUUAUAUUUUCAGUGAAAGUUUUCACACGC